rnacentral:rRNA from 1 species
GUGCUAAGGUAGCGUAAUCAUUUGUUUUUUAAUUGGAAACUAGUAUGAAAGGUUUAAUUAAUUUUACUGGUUUGUAUAGCUAUAUAUUAGAUUUAAGUCGAGGUAAGAAUUCUUUGAUUUUCUAGGGGACGAUAAGACCCUAGAAGCUUGAUAAGUUUUACGUGUACUAGAUUUAAAGUUGGCUUAUUUUACUGGGGCGGUAGUAGUACGUGAACUACUUAAUUUUUGGAGGGUCCUUAAAAUAAAGAUAAGUCGUAUAAGUUACUCUAGGGAUAACAGUGCUAUAUUUUUGGAGAGAUCUUAUCGAUAAAAAUGUUUGCAACCUCGAUGUUGAAUUA